rnacentral:rRNA from 1 species
UGCUAAGUGUUUAUUUAUCCUUAGUUUGCUCUGCCCAGUGAUUGAAUAAUUAAACGGCCGCAGUACACUGACUGUGCAAAGGUAGCAUAAUCAUUUGGCUUUUAAAUGAAGUCGGGUAUGAACGAGUUAAUGGGGGAGCACUGUCUAUGUUGAUUAUUAAUUGAAUUUACUUUAGAAAGUGCAAAUUCUUUCAAUCACUUUUAAUAGACGAGAAGACCCUAUAAAUUUAUACUAAUCAGUAUAUUUUUAUACUUUAGUUUUUGUUGGGGCAACAAGUUAACAUAAUAAUUAAAUUUAACUAAUUUUUAACACCUUAUCUGGCCGAGUGAAUUACUAGAUAAAAUAAAAUUACUUUAGGGAUAACAACAUAAUUUUAAUAAAAAGAUUGUGACCUCGAUGUUGGACUAGGAACUAAUUAAAUCAAACAUAUAAUUAGAAGGUUCUGUUCGAACCCGUUGUACCU